rnacentral:misc_RNA from 1 species
AACCAAUUCUUUAGCUCAAACACCACCACUAAGGUUUAAAGCUCCAAAUAAGACGUUCUAUGAAGUCCCCGUUGUAGAACCCCAAAAGAACCCAGUAUUCUCGAGUGAUCAAAACUCAAAACUGCCAAGAAAGAACAUGAGAUUGAAAUCAGCAUUCGGAUCUCGAAAUUAAAAAAGAAUAUGCUUAUAAUACUCGCAGUCGCAGAAAUAUCCUUAAUCAUAUCCAGCAUAGCAAAUGAGGCGUAAUGAAUCAAGCGCCACCUACUAGUCUCGAAGUCUCCAAAAUCUUUUUUUUUUUUCCUUUAUUUAUUUUUUUUU